rfam:Drosophila ananassae strain TSC#14024-0371.13 Ctg01_15594, whole genome shotgun sequence.
UCCGAAGUAGCUCAGUUGGUUAGAGCACUCGACGCGAAAUUGAGAGGUCCCGGGUUCGAUUUCUGGCUCGGAU